rnacentral:lncRNA from 10 species
UCCCCUUUGGAGAUCACUGGAAACAGCUUCUGGACCACAAAUGGGGUGAACUACUGUAUCGAGAAAGGAGAGAGUAAGACUUGAGAGCUAUCUUUUUAGCUCAGGGUGCAGAGUGUUGGGUGGCUGGAGCCCAUACUGGCAGCUCAGAGUUCAAGCUGGGGACCCUGGACAGAAGGCCAUUCCAUUGCCGGGCACGCUCACACACACACAGCCACACUCACUAAGACUGGAACCAUGCAGACGUACCAAGGAACGAGGAUAUCUUUGAGAUGUGGGAGGAAACUGAAGUACCUGGAGAAAACUCACGACUGGACUAAGAACUCAGUUAAGUGAAGCAAGCAAGAAUUUCCCAAGUGAUGCCAACUCAAAAUGAAUUAUAUCAAGAAAGGAAAAGCAGCUUUUUCAUCUGGAAAGAACUGGAGACCUUGAACCUAGGCAGCAUGUGCCUUGAACCUAGGAUCAGUAAACAACAAGGAUGGAAAAGACAGUAAGAAUUUGGUCAGAUCACCAUAUCUUUCCGUUGUGCCUUUAGAACAAAAGGAAAGAAAAUAUCUCUUUGGCUCACAGAGAAAAUAUGUUGAGAAAUGAAGUACAACCCCUCACUGUGCUGGGCACAGAGCAGGUGCUCGGUAAAUAAAUAGUGUACGUGUUCG